GACGAACGCUGGCGGCGUGCUUAACACAUGCAAGUCGAACGAUGAAGCCGGAGCUUGCUCUGGUGAAUUAGUGGCGAACGGGUGAGUAACACGUGAGUAACCUGCCCUUGACUCUGGGAUAACUGCUAGAAAUGGUAGCUAAUACCGGAUACGACCCUCGGCGGCAUCGCCAGGGGGUGGAAAGAAUUUCGGUCAAGGAUGGACUCGCGGCCUAUCAGCUAGUUGGUGAGGUAACGGCUCACCAAGGCGACGACGGGUAGCCGGCCUGAGAGGGUGACCGGCCAGACUGGGACUGCGACACGGCCCAGACUCCUACGGGGGGCAGCAGUGGGGAAUAUUGCACAAUGGGCGAAAGCCUGAUGCAGCAACGCCGCGUGAGGGAUGAAGGCCUUCGGGGUGUAAACCUCUUUUAGUAGGGAAGAAGCGCAAGUGACGGUACCUACAGAAAAAGCACCGGCUAACUACGUGCCAGCAGCCGCCGUAA
rnacentral:rRNA from 1 species